rnacentral:rRNA from 1 species
GACGAACGCUGGCGGCGUGCCUAAUACAUGCAAGUCGAGCGGACAGAAGGGAGCUUGCUCCCGGAAGUUAGCGGCGGACGGGUGAGUAACACGUGGGCAACCUACCCUGUAGAUCGGGAUAACAUCGAGAAAUCGGUGCUAAUACCGGAUAAUCAUUUGAAGUGCAUGCUUCGAAUGUAAAAGAUGGCUCCGGCUAUCACUACUGGCUGGGCCCGCGGCGCAUUAGCUGGUUGGUAAGGUAAUGGCUUACCAAGGCAACGAUGCGUAGCCGACCUGAGAGGGUGAUCGGCCACACUGGGACUGAGACACGGCCCAGACUCCUACGGGAGGCAGCAGUAGGGAAUCUUCCGCAAUGGACGAAAGUCUGACGGAGCAACGCCGCGUGAGUGAUGAAGGUUUUCGGAUCGUAAAGCUCUGUUGUUAGGGAAGAACAAGUGCCGUUUGAAUAAGGCGGCACCUUGACGGUACCUAACCAGAAAGCCACGGCUAACUACGUGCCAGCAGCCGCGGUAACAC